rnacentral:rRNA from 1 species
GAUGAACGCUGACAGAAUGCUUAACACAUGCAAGUCUUUGGCGAAUCUGUGCUUGCACAGGCUAGCCAAGGCGGACGGGUGAGUAACGCGUAAAGAACUUGCCCUGCAGACAGGGAUAACAGACGGAAACGACUGAUAACACCUGAUACAGUUGCCGGCACGCAUGUGCCUGGAAAUGAAAAGAGAUGCUGCAGGAGAGCUUUGCGUCCUAUUAGCUUGUUGGUGAGGUGACGGCUCACCAAGGCGAUGAUAGGUAGCCGGCCUGAGAGGGUGAACGGCCACAAGGGGACUGGGAUACGGCCCUUACGCCUACGGGAGGCAGCAGUGAGGAAUAUUGGACGAUGGGGGCAACCCUGAGCCAGCAAUUCUGUGUGCACGAAGAAGGUUUACGGAUUGUAAAGUGCUUUCAGCAGGGAAGAAGAAAGUGACGGUACCUGCAGAAGAAGCGACGGCUAAAUACGUG